rnacentral:rRNA from 1 species
GUUUGUUUGGAGUUAUAAAGAAUUUGACCUGCCCCCUGAUUAAUAAUUAAAGGGCCGCAGUAUUAUAACUGUGCAAAGGUAGCAUAAUCAUUAGGUUUUUAAUUGGAAUCUUGCAUGAAUGGUUGGACAAGAGAAAAACUCUCUUUAUAUUAAGUUUUGAAUUUAACUUUUAAGUGAAAAGGCUUAAAUAUUCUAAAGGGACGAUAAGACCCUAUAAAACUUUACAUUGUGAUUAAUUUUGGUUGAAUUUGUAAAAUAAGAAUUUUAUUUGGUUAUUUGUUAUGUUGGGGAGACAUAAGUAAAAUAGUAUUUUAACUGCUUAAUAAUUAUACAAUUAUUAGUGAGUAAUAGAAGAUCCUUUUU